rnacentral:rRNA from 1 species
UACGUAGGGGGCAAGCGUUGUCCGGAUUUAUUGGGCGUAAAGAGCGUGUAGGCGGCCUGAAAGGUCAGCUGUGAAAACUCGAGGCUCAACCUCGAGACGUCGGUUGAAACCAUCUGGCUAGAGUCCGGAAGAGGAGUGUGGAAUUCCCGGUGUAGCGGUGAAAUGCGCAGAUAUCGGGAAGAACACCCGUGGCGAAGGCGGCCUGCUGGGCAGUUUUGCUGACACUGAGGCGCGACAGCGUGGGGAGCAAACAGG